AUGUGGAGUGAAGAGUUCAGACAAUAUGGAGGAACCGGGCAUGAGAGAGAAAAUAGGAGGUUUAUCCAAUUACCCACACAGCGGGAGGGAGCCCUUUAUCACUUGUCUAUUGCUGAACAUACCAGUAUGGAGGAAGCCCAGCCAACCGAUGUCCUCAAUAGGCUCUCUCCUAGCAGAAAAGGGAUUUCUCUGGUUCACCUGGGAAAGUCACUGCUUGUAGGAGUUGACCGUGGUGAUACUGGCUCCAGUGACUUCUGUCAUAUUCUACAGUUCACUGUACCUCUAGGCAGUUUCUGGAGCACACUGGGAAAUGCCAGUGGCGCCGACAGGAUAGGCAAGUGUCGUGGACUUGGUACUGCUAGGAAGCUCCGUAGUCACCGACGAGACCAGAAGUGGCAUGAUAAACAGUACAAGAAAACCCAUUUGGGCACAGCCCUGAAGGCCUACCCUUUUGGAGGUGCUUCUCAUGCAAAAGGAAUCGUCCUGGAAAAGUAGGAGUUGAAGCCAAACAGCCAAAUUCUGCCAUUAGGAAGUGUAUCAGGGUCCAGCUGAUCAAGAAUGGCAAGAAAAUCACAGCCUUUGUACCCAACGACGGUUGCUUGAACUUUAUUGAGGAAAAUAAUGAAGUUUUGGAUGCUGGAUUUGGUCGCAAAGGUCAUACUGUUGGUGAUAUUCCUGGAGUCCGCUUUAAGGUUGUCAAAGUAGCCAAUGUGUCUCUUCUGGCCCUAUACAAAGGCAAGAAGGAAAGACCAAGAUCAUAAAUUUUAAUGGUGAAAACACUGUAGUAAUAAAUUUUCAUAUGCCAAAAAAA